rnacentral:rRNA from 1 species
AAACUGGAGGAAGGUGGGGAUGACGUCAAGUCAUCAUGGCCCUUACGAGUAGGGCUACACACGCGCUACAAUGGCAUAUACAAAGAGAAGCGACCUCGCGAGAGCAAGCGGACCUCAUAAAGUAUGUCGUAGUCCGGAUUGGAGUCUGCAACUCGACUCCAUGAAGUCGGAAUCGCUAGUAAUCGUGGAUCAGAAUGCCACGGUGAAUACGUUCCCGGGCCUUGUACACACCGCCCGUCACACCAUGGGAGUGGGUUGCAAAAGAAGUAGGUAGCUUAACCUUCGGGAGGGCGCUUACCACUUUGUGA